rnacentral:tRNA from 26 species
GGGCGAUUGGCUCAGGGGUAGAGCACUUCCUUCACACGGAAGGGGUCGCUGGUUCGAAUCCAGCAUCGCCCACCA